UCUGGAGCGCAUGUCCUGCCAUGACCUCUUACGACGCCGUCAGGAAGCCUGAAAGCGCGAGUUUUCCGGAUUCCGGCAGACAAUCGGCGGUCGAACGACAGAGAGAUGAUGUCAGAUGUCUUCCACGAUAUGCAUGAUGUCAUCGACGGUUCUUCGGCGGAUUUUUUUCCGCCGGCUGCUUCGGCUGUUGCUUUUUAUAACGCAUUAUCCCCAGCAUCGGGGGUUGAAGUGCAGUCCCUUAGCUCAGUUGGUUAGAGCGCUACACUGAUAAUGUAGAGGUCGGCAGUUCAACUCUGCCAGGGGCUACGAUUCCGGAGCCUUGAUGCUUCGGGAGGGUAAACAAAAGAGAACAUUGACAUACUGGAAGCGAAAGUCAUUGAUGACGCAAGUCAGAGAUGACAAGCAAUUGACAAUAGAAACGAGUGAAAUCAUCGGGCGUAUGUGCUUUUAUGAGCACGACGAACGACGGAUAUCUGACGUAGAGUCAAAAGGCGAAGUAAAAGGAAAGGAGAGAAGGGCACAUGAAGGAUGCCUUGGCUCUCGGAGGCGACGAAGGACGUGACAAGCUGCGAUAAGCUGCGGUUGGAGGCAAAUACUCAUCAAGCCGCAGAUCUC
rnacentral:misc_RNA from 1 species